rnacentral:rRNA from 1 species
AUGGAUGUUGAAGUUCAUGAGAUUGAUUCUGAUGAAAACAAUACUUCCCCUGGUGUCUUCAUGAAGAAGUCAACUACCAUUGAGCAAGAAAAAAAGAAGUCCACUGGAAGUGGAUCAAAAGAAACUGGAAGAGGGCAAAAAUGGACAGCCGACGAUGCCAUAUUAGCAAUUGACCACCUUGCAGAUGCAUCACUUAGCAUUGCUGAAGCGAAGAAAACAGUAGCACAACAAAAUGAAGCUUACUCGGUUAAAUCAUGUAUGGCAAUAUUAAAUAGUAUGAGUAAUCUAGAUCACAAAGAGAAACUAAAAGCGGUCAAGGCAUUUACAGAUGAUCCAAGCAAUCAAGUCCCAUCCAAAAUAUUGGGUGAUGCAAGGUUCUACCCAUAUUUCAAGAACUGUCUAGGAGCAAUUGACGGGACACACAUUGAGGCGAAAAUCAGGCUUGAUAAGCAAACUCCUUACAGAAAUAGGCAUGGUUAUCCGUCUCAAAAUGUAAUGGCAGCAGUGUCAUUUGACAUGACAUUCUCUUAUGUCGCUGCUGGAUGGGAGGGUUCUGCAUCGGAUCAAGCUGUUCUAAGAUGGGCUGUUACUAGUGGGGGUUUGGUUGUUCCUGAAGGCAAAUUUUAUCUUGUUGAUUCAGGCUAUGCAAAUACUCCAAAAUUUAUUGCCCCAUAUCGCGGAGAUCGCUAUCAUAUUGCUUCUUUUCGUGGAUGUAAUCGGAGAUAUACUGGUGAGAAGGAUUUGUUCAACCAUGUGCAUGCACAGCUGCGGAACAUUGUGGAACAAACCUUUGGUGUUCUGAAAGCUCGUUUUCCAAUUCUAAGUAGGAAAGGAGGAAUUCCUUAUCCAUAUAGAACCCAAGUUAAAAUUGUUAUGGCUUGUUGCAUCAUCCACAACUUCAUAAGGAAGGUUAAUGAGCCUGAUGAGUUGUUUGAGCUUUAUGAGCAUGGGGAAACACAAGAAAAUGUUGACCAUGGUGAUCAACAAGUUCGUGGGCAAGCAAGAGAAGAUAAUCGAGUUGCUGGUGAGAGAGUUCGUGCUGGCAUCGCUCAACAAUUGUGGACUAAUCAUCAACGACGUGUGAACCGACAACAACAAGAUGAUUAA